CGUAGGGUGCGAGCGUUAAUCGGAAUUACUGGGCGUAAAGCGUGCGCAGGCGGUUUUGUAAGACAGGCGUGAAAUCCCCGGGCUCAACCUGGGAACUGCGCUUGUGACUGCAAGGCUAGAGUACGGCAGAGGGGGGUGGAAUUCCACGUGUAGCAGUGAAAUGCGUAGAGAUGUGGAGGAACACCAAUGGCGAAGGCAGCCCCCUGGGUCGAUACUGACGCUCAUGCACGAAAGCGUGGGUAGCAAACAGGAUUAGAUACCCUGGUAGUCCACGCCCUAAACGAUGUCAACUAGGUGUUGGGUGGUAAAACCAUUUAGUACCGGAGCUAACGCGUGAAGUUGACCGCCGUGGGGAGUACGGCCGCAAGGUUA
rnacentral:rRNA from 1 species